rnacentral:rRNA from 1 species
AGUGAACGCUGGCGGUAGGCCUAACACAUGCAAGUCGAACGGCAGCACAGGAGAGCUUGCUCUCUGGGUGGCGAGUGGCGGACGGGUGAGGAAUACAUCGGAAUCUACUUUUUCGUGGGGGAUAACGUAGGGAAACUUACGCUAAUACCGCAUACGACCUACGGGUGAAAGCAGGGGAUCUUCGGACCUUGCGCGAUUGAAUGAGCCGAUGUCGGAUUAGCUAGUUGGCGGGGUAAAGGCCCACCAAGGCGACGAUCCGUAGCUGGUCUGAGAGGAUGAUCAGCCACACUGGAACUGAGACACGGUCCAGACUCAUACGGGAGGCAGCAGUGGGGAAUAUUGGACAAUGGGCGCAAGCCUGAUCCAGCCAUACCGCGUGGGUGAAGAAGGCCUUCGGGUUGUAAAGCCCUUUUGUUGGGAAAGAAAUCCAGCUGGUUAAUACCCGGUUGGGAUGACGGUACCCAAAGAAUAAGCACCAGCUAACUUCGUGCCAGCCGCCGCAGUAA